UCCCCGGUAGUUCAGUUGGUAGAACACCGCACUGUUAAUGCGAAUGUCGCCCGUUCGAGCCGGGCCCGGGGAGCCA
rnacentral:tRNA from 1 species